rnacentral:rRNA from 1 species
CCUACGGGAGGCAGCAGUGAGGAAUAUUGCUCAAUGGGGGAAACCCUGAAGCAGCAACGCCGCGUGGAGGAUGCAGGUUUUCGGAUUGUAAACUCCUUUUGUUAGAGAAGAUAAUGACGGUAUCUAACGAAUAAGCAACGGAUAACUCCGGGCCAGCAGCCGCGGUAAUACGGAGGGUGCACGCGUUACUCGGAAUCACUGGGGGUAAAGAGCGCGUAGGUGGGAUAGCAAGUCAGAUGUGAAAUCCUAGGGCUUAACCAUGGAACUGCAUUUGAAACUGUUAUUCUAGAGUAUGGGAGAGGUAGGUGGAAUGCUUGGUGUAGGGGUAAAAUCCGUAGAGAUCAAGAGGAAUACUCAUUGCGAAGGCGACCUGCUAGAACAUAACUGACGCUGAUGCGCGAAAGCGUGGGGAGCAAACAGGAUUAGAUACCCGGGUAGUC